CUCUCCUUUACGCUCAUUAGUUUAAGUCUGAUGCCCUGUUCUUGCGGCGUGGGAUGAUCGAUUGGUGCCUCCUGUUUUGCCUUUUUUGUGACGCGAUCUCGCAGCAAAGAUGAUUUUGAUGGCGAGGAGGUAUGGGCAGGAGCGAGUUUGGUUUUCUCCCUCGUGGAAGUGCCCUUGUUCUUGCCCAGGAACGGUGAUGAUUCGACAGAAAAUCAGCGCAAUCCAAGUCUUGUUGUGAGUUUGAUGAUCGUGGUCUUCGCAUCAAGCGAUGGCUGAUACGUUGACAUCACUGAGAGCUUGCGACGAUUUGGCUGAGAAAAGGCGAAUCUGAGUUCUUCCCUCUUUGAUUUAGCUAGGGCAGGCGAUCUCCUAGAACUUUCUCAAGUGUUCUUCGUGCUUUGCGUCUCGCCUAGAGUUUACUUCACAGAUUCUUCCUCUCUCCUUACCGAAAUGCUUACGUAUUUUCUUCCAUUGGUGAGGUCAAGGGGCCUGUAACAUUUUCAUGCAUCUCUGGGUCGCUUUUCUUUCUUUUUUUUUCACUAAUUCUACAACCAUAGAUCGUUUUGGACGAAGCGGGCGAACUUUUUAAUGGUGUAGUAAAUAAGCACCACACCAUGAGGUUAUUUACACAUGUCUACAAACAACCAACCUUCAGCGUGUAAUAAGAUCCAGAAAAUAAAACUAAAGAGCCUGUGCUCAUUCAUCUUAUGUCCA